UCUUUUAUUUUCCCCAACACCGUAUUUGGCUCACAUUUCCAGCGUUACCUGUCCCAUCCAAAGCUUUAUCAUUUCGAACACUAAAAUUUAACCGUAAACGUAGUCUAUGUUUUCCAACAUUUUCUAUAACAUUGCUGUAAAUCUCCACGCGGACUGGCCAUGAUGAGUAACUGGCUUUCACAGUAACGUUAGGUGAUUGGCCGACUUGCGUUUUGACUGCCCAAUGAGAAACCGGGUCCAAAUUUUAGGCCGCGAUCUCUGCAAUUUGAUUGGAUCAGAAUGCUGUGGAAUGUGCAGAAGUCUUUGGUCGCAUCCAAUAAGGGCUGGAUGAAAAGUCGCGCGUUAUAAUAUAUAUAUGCCGAAGGCGGGGCUUCUUCGUUCUUUUUACCUUUCGCGUUGUGGUGAGAUGUAGUUAGGCUGCCGCUGAUGACGGUGGCCGUUGUUCAUGGCGCUUCCAGACUUAUCAGCGUGUUCAGAAAGACUAUGAUUACAGAAGCGAAGGUUCCGUGUCGGCUCUUGUGCUCUAUUAGUCUAAGAUCUGCGCGUAUGUUAUGAUGAUCUAGACUCUAGUAUCCCUCCAUUUUAAGCCGACCGAUGUUGAACAUGUGAUAAUAAUAAUUGUAACGAACGCGGUUUCGUAGCUUUUUGGCCCAGGAGACUAAUAUAUGGUGAGUAAGCAUAGCUUAGUUUUUCUUAUUUGCUGCAUUGCUUUAUUUUGUGCUUACGCCUACAGCGAACGCACGCGCGUGGCCUGACGAGCCAAGUUUUGUGGUGCACGUGGCCCUCCUCGUGGCCUCUUGCUUGCCGCAGCUCGUGGCGUCCGAGCUCUGAAUCUCAUUUCCGUGCCGCUGCAGGGUCUCAAACUGGACUGAACCGGUUGCUUCACGACGAUGGACAUGAUGAUGAUGAUGAUGAUGAUGAUGAUGGACUGGUGUGUCUGGGAUGUGAACAUGAUGUAGCCUCCAGAGAGCGUGCGAUGUGAACGUGGCUGGUACCCUCUGGGUGGAGAAGCAGCAGCAGCAGCAGGGUUUAUCUGCUUAAGACACAUUCCAUUGUAAGUGUUCUCACCCUUCGUGCUGAUCAGUGUACAGUUUCCUUCUUAGUCAAGUGUUACACUGAGCCAGCGAUAUCCCUGCAAAAUAUUCCAACAACUCAUAUGGUGGCUGUUUACUAGCAUCUGACUUAUGUGAUCUGAAGGUCUUUGUUGACAGAUCUUCUGUAAAUGUCUAGUCAACUGUGAAACUGUAUGGGACAGUAGGUAGCUUAUUGGUUAGAGCUACUACCUCUGGUUUCAGAGUGGGCAGGUUUGAAUCACAUUUCUAGCUGUAAUACCUUUAGGAGAAAGACAUAGCUGCAGAUGUGAUUAAGUACAAUUUGUUCCCUUCAUAUGUACUGACAAUACUUAUGACACUGCAAUAAGGAAGGUGUUAUUACAUAAGAAAUGUAGUAUUUCACAGCUCAGAUUGUUCAUAUACUACAAAUAAGCAUAAGAAUAAAAAAUUUAUUUGGCCUGAGGGGGUAUUGUCC
rnacentral:lncRNA from 1 species